AAUAGAUUAAAUUGUGACAGUCGUCUAAAGUAUCCUUUGGCGCGUUGAAGCUGACAGUACCACUCAUCUCACGUUUCUACAAUAUCACUGAAGAAAAUUUCAAGAGUUUAAAAGUCGACGGAUUAAGACAUGCAUUCAACCGUAUUUGUUCUGUUCAUAUUUGGAACUUGUUUGCUUCAAGUACAAGGCGAUUGGUUUCGCGACAUGGAGUCGACUGAGAAUCGAGAACGCAGCCUGCCCAAUGAAGUUACUCUAAACGGCGACGUUAAGAAAUGUGGAAUUGUCCUCCAACCAGCCAUGAAGUGCAGCUGUCAGGCCCUCGUUUGUGAUGCCCAGGAGUCUUGCGAGCACUCGUUCGGGCCAUUCAAAGGCUACCGGUAUGAGCUGGGAUGUAAGCUGACGAAGCCCUGGGACCAAAUCGACGCGCAAGCCGCGACCUUUGGAGGGCCCAGUGAUGACUGCUACUGCAAGGGUAGAGCGAUUAUGGCAUGACUAGCCGUGGACUAAGUUCGAGUUGAACUUUAUGUAUACGUGCGGUCUAGACUAGUAGUGAUAAUAUCGAAAAGAUUUGAAUAUAUAUGUAACAUAAUUGAGAUAUAAGAUUAAUAAACUCCAUGAGCUAUAUAGUUCACUUUGUUUAUUUCACUGAGUUUUUAUACAGAGCUCUAAUAUUCAAAGACCAUUUUCUCUUUUGAUAGAUGUGAACGAGUGAAUGUGUUACUGAAGUUCAAAUAAGAGCUCUUGUACAUCAGAACAUUCGUAACUAAUUACUCGUUCCCAUCCAUCGAAAGGAGAAAAUCGCAUGCACAUUAAUCGCAGCAAAAAUCGCAAGUGUAACCUUGCUUAUGAAAUUUCUCCUCUGAUAUACGGAUAUUGUUUGACAAGGAAAUAAUUCCACGUUAAUGUAAACAAGUCAACUGUAAAGUGUUAUUCCAGA